rnacentral:rRNA from 1 species
CACGUAGGGCGCAAGCGUUGUCCGGAAUUAUUGGGCGUAAAGAGCUCGUAGGCGGCUUGUCGCGUCGACCGUGAAAACUUGGGGCUCAACCCCAAGCCUGCGGUCGAUACGGGCAGGCUCGAGUUCGGUAGGGGAGACUGGAAUUCCUGGUGUAGCGGUGAAAUGCGCAGAUAUCAGGAGGAACACCGGUGGCGAAGGCGGGUCUCUGGGCCGAUACUGACGCUGAGGAGCGAAAGCGUGGGGAGCGAACAGG